UACGUAGGGGGCAAGCGUUGUCCGGAUUUAUUGGGCGUAAAGGGUGCGUAGGCGGUUUGGUAAGUCUUAUGUGAAAUCUAUGGGCUCAACUCAUAGUCUGCAUGAGAAACUGCCGGGCUUGAGUAUGGGAGAGGUGAGUGGAAUUCCUGGUGUAGCGGUGAAAUGCGUAGAUAUCAGGAGGAACACCUGUGGCGAAAGCGGCUCACUGGACCAUAACUGACGCUGAUGCACGAAAGCUAGGGGAGCAAACAGG
rnacentral:rRNA from 1 species